ACGGCCAUAUCACAUUGAAAACACAGGUUCUCAUCCAAUCACUGUAGUUAAGCCAUUUUGGUCAGUACUUGGGAGGGUGACCACUUGGGGAGAUGCUGUAGUCU